rnacentral:lncRNA from 1 species
UUUUUAUUUUUUUAUUUUUUAUUUGUUUUGAGACAGAGUCUUGCUAUGUUUCCCAGGCUGGUCUUGAACUCCUGGGCCUCCUUCCUCAGCCUCCCAAAAUUCUGGGAUUAUAGGUGUGAGCCACCGCGCCUGGCCCAAAUGUAUUUUUUAAAAAGAAAAAAAGAUUGUUUUAUCAUCAUAAAAAUAGUACAUUUGGUGAGACCAUUUGUUUAAAUAUAGAAAAAAUAAAAUGAAAAUGACCUUUAACCCCACUAUCCAGACGUAGCCACUAUUGACAUUUUGGAAUAUAUCCUCCAGCUCUUUUUUUCUGUGCAUAUAUAUGUUUUCUUAUAUAUUUUAUUUAUGCAUUUAAAGUUGUAAUUUUAAAGUACACACAUUUUAAGAGAGGAAAGAUAUACUUUUUUACAAACAAGUUAAUUAUAGAAUAUUUGCAAAUUACAGAAAUAAAAAGAUAAAAACCAGGAGCUGACUGAAACAAUCAUUCACUUUUUAAAACUUUAAAGUAUUUCAGACAAUAGAUAAUAUAAUGAACGUUCAUGUACCUGCCAUCCAGACUCAACUAAUUUUCAUGUUUUUCUUUAAUUGUACAACUUUCUUUAUACCUGGUGAAAUGUUAGCUAUCUAAGUCCCUUAUCCCAUCAAUAACUCCCAU